rnacentral:rRNA from 1 species
CCUACGGGUGGCAGCAGUGAGGAAUAUUGGUCAAUGGCCGAGAGGCUGAACCAGCCAAGUCGCGUGAGGGAAGAAUGUCCUAUGGAUUGUAAACCUCUUUUGUCAGGGAGCAAAGUCACCCACGUGUGGGUGUUGUGGAGUACCUGAAGAAAAAGCAUCGGCUAACUCCGUGCCAGCAGCCGCGGUAAUACGGAGGAUUCGAGCGUUAUCCGGAUUUAUUGGGUUUAAAGGGUGCGUAGGCGGGUUAUCAAGGCAGCGGUAAAAUCGUGGAGCUCAACCCCAUCCAGCCGUUGAAACUGAUGUUCUUGAGUGGGCGAGAAGUAUGCGGAAUGCGUGGUGUAGCGGUGAAAUGCAUAGAUAUCACGCAGAACUCCGAUUGCGAAGGCAGCAUACCGGCGCCCGACUGACGCUGAAGCACGAAAGCGUGGGUAUCGAACAGGAUUAGAUACCCGUGUAGUC